GGGAGCUGUGGUGCCGGAGGGGGAAGGAUUUCCAGCUCGCCACCUCGUGGUGCCGCCGGAGCAAACAGAGGAGCUCGCCGGAAUCCUUCACGGCUCAUCGGAGCUAGAUGAAUAGGAGAUGCUAGGAACAAGGAGCGUGACAUGCUUCAGGGUUAUGGG